UUCAUACUACCUCUGUCUGAAAUUACUUGUCGCUCAAACGGAUGUAUCUAGACUUAUUUUCAUGCUAAAUACAUCCAUUUAAGCGACAUGUAAUUCCGGACGGAGGGAGUAAUAC
rnacentral:pre_miRNA from 1 species